rnacentral:rRNA from 1 species
UACGAAGGGGGCUAGCGUUGCUCGGAAUCACUGGGCGUAAAGCGCACGUAGGCGGCUUUCUAAGUCAGGGUGAAAUCCUGGAGCUCAACUCCAGAACUGCCUUUGAUACUGGAGAGCUUGAGUCCGGGAGAGGUGAGUGGAACUCCGAGUGUAGAGGUGAAAUUCGUAGAUAUUCGCAAGAACACCAGUGGCGAAGGCGGCUCACUGGUCCGGUACUGACGCUGAGGCACGAAAGCGUGGGGAGCAAACAGGG